rnacentral:rRNA from 1 species
UACAGAGGGUGCAAGCGUUGUUCGGAAUUAUUGGGCGUAAAGCGCGUGUAGGCGGCCUGGCAAGUCGGGUGUGAAAGCCCUCAGCUCAACUGAGGAAGUGCGCCCGAAACUGCUGGGCUCGAGUGCCGGAGAGGGUGGCGGAAUUCCCCAAGUAGAGGUGAAAUUCGUAGAGAUGGGGGGGAACACCGGUGGCGAAGGCGGCCACCUGGACGGUCACUGACGCUGAGACGCGAAAGCGUGGGUAGCAAACAGG